rnacentral:sRNA from 1 species
CGGAUGUGUUGAAGAACUGUCCAGGUA